GGAAAGGCGCGCGAUACAGGGUGACAGCCCCGUACACAAAAAUGCACAUGCUGUGAGCUCGAUGAGUAGGGCGGGACACGUGGUAUCCUGUCUGAAUAUGGGGGGACCAUCCUCCAAGGCUAAAUACUCCUGACUGACCGAUAGUGAACCAGUACCGUGAGGGAAAGGCGAAAAGAACCCCGGCGAGGGGAGUGAAAAAGAACCUGAAACCGUGUACGUACAAGCAGUGGGAGCACGCUUAGGCGUGUGACUGCGUACCUUUUGUAUAAUGGGUCAGCGACUUAUAUUCUGUAGCAAGGUUAACCGAAUAGGGGAGCCGAAGGGAAACCGAGUCUUAACUGGGCGUUAAGUUGCAGGGUAUAGACCCGAAACCCGGUGAUCUAGCCAUGGGCAGGUUGAAGGUUGGGUAACACUAACUGGAGGACCGAACCGACUAAUGUUGAAAAAUUAGCGGAUGACUUGUGGCUGGGGGUGAAAGGCCAAUCAAACCGGGAGAUAGCUGGUUCUCCCCGAAAGCUAUUUAGGUAGCGCCUCGUGAAUUCAUCUCCGGGGGUAGAGCACUGUUUCGGCAAGGGGGUCAUCCCGACUUACCAACCCGAUGCAAACUGCGAAUACCGGAGAAUGUUAUCACGGGAGACACACGGCGGGUGCUAACGUCCGUCGUGAAGAGGGAAACAACCCAGACCGCCAGCUAAGGUCCCAAAGUCAUGGUUAAGUGGGAAACGAUGUGGGAAGGCCCAGACAGCCAGGAUGUUGGCUUAGAAGCAGCCAUCAUUUAAAGAAAGCGUAAUAGCUCACUGGUCGAGUCGGCCUGCGCGGAAGAUGUAACGGGGCUAAACCAUGCACCGAAGCUGCGGCAGCGACGCUGAUGCGUUGUUGGGUAGGGGAGCGUUCUGUAAGCCUGCGAAGGUGUGCUGUGAGGCAUGCUGGAGGUAUCAGAAGUGCGAAUGCUGACAUAAGUAACGAUAAAGCGGGUGAAAAGCCCGCUCGCCGGAAGACCAAGGGUUCCUGUCCAACGUUAAUCGGGGCAGGGUGAGUCGACCCCUAAGGCGAGGCCGAAAGGCGUAGUCGAUGGGAAACAGGUUAAUAUUCCUGUACUUGGU
rnacentral:rRNA from 1 species